CUUCCUUUUAACUGCCAGUGAGGGUAUGAACUGAUUGGAUGGGAGCUUGGCUGUGUUCUGAUUGGGUGGAGGUGUGUUCUGCAUGGUUAGGGGCUUGGCUGUGCUCUGAUUGGCUGGGGGAGUGUUCUGUUUGGUUGUGCUCAGGUUAGUCUGAGUUGCAGAGGGGUUUAAGAUUUUGGGGUUAGGGAGUCGUUUGUCAAUAAGGGCAGG